GGUCAGAUAUGGGAAAAAAGCAAAGUCACAGGAUAAGAUGGAAAUAUAAGAUGGGGUAGGGGAAGUUGGCACCCCGUCAUGAUCAGAUCUCCAAGCAGGGAGGCCAAGAUACAAGAGGCCUGUCAUUUGUAAUGUUGAGCUUAUGUCUCUGUGGCACUUUUCAUAUCUUUUUGUUUUGUUUUGUUUUUUAUUUUUUAAAGUUUUAUUGAAGUACAGUUGAUUUACAGUGAUCAUUUCUGCUGUACAACAAAGUGAUUCAUUUAUACAUGUACACACAUCCAUUCUUUUUUUCAGAUUUUUUCCCCAUGUAGAUUAUCAUAGACUAUUGGCUAGAGUUCCCUGUGCUAUACAGAAGGUCUGUAUAUGUAUAUUUUUAUUGGAGCAUCAUGGCACACUGUGAAGCAGACAGUCAAGUAUUAUUACAUCCACUUGAGAGAAGAAACGGAGGCCUGAUGAGAGAUGCCGAGACUUGUCCAAGAUUAUAUAACUGGUUCCUGCAGCUCCAGUCUGGACUUCAGCCCAAGCUCUUUCCAUUGGGCCACAUUUCUUCCCCCAGAGUAAAGAGCUUACACUGGACCCUACCUUAGAGGAUGUAGAUCCAUAAAUCAGGAAAGAUCUAGAUAAAAGUAAGCACCUUACUUUUAAGUAUUCCUCAAGCAUAGAAUCAACACUAAACUUGAACUUGGCCGUUUAGUUCUAGUUCUGCUUUUUAUCAGUUGUAUGACCUUGAGGAUCUCAUUGAACAUUUAUGAGGCUCUGUUUUCUCACCCAUAAAACUGAAAUAAUAGUUAUCUCACAGAUUUGCACAAACCAUGGAACGCAUACUUAGUGUUAUGGAAACUGUAAAGUAUUAGACUAAUGAGAUUGUUAAGUUUUUGUUUGUUUGUUUUUUACUUGUAAUGGACUCUAUGAAUGGGGGGGUCUCAGGGCUGUUUCCAUGCACAGGCUGAAAUAUUUUUCAUUAAAUCAGAAAUAAAUUUCUGUUGUUUACAAGCCGUGUUGUUCUAACAGCCCGAAGGAAUUUAGACCCCUGCCGGUGUAAUAGUGAUGACAAGGGAUAACUCCUUUAAGUAGAAUGAUCAGGGCAAUGAAACUUGCUAAGAACCUGGCCUUUUUUCCUGCAGUUUCUCAUCUGAACUAACUUCUGAAAAAUUCUGAAUGAAUUGCCUACAGAGCUGGUGCCUCACAAAGAGUAGUGGAAUAAUCAUAAAGAUUGCUCUUCUUUUCUCGUCUUUCCUGUCCCUCCAUCCAGAGAUGGCACAGAAUACUUUGUUCUGAUGACCCUGUAAAAUGUGGGGAGAGUGAAGUAGUGGAGCAUGGGCAGAGUGAGGUGAUUCAGUCAAUGGCAAAUUGAUUUUUCUCUCACUCUGCACUCCCAUCAUCUCCUUUUGCAUCCCAAGGCACACUGAAUCUAAUAAACUGGGCCUGGUCCCUGAAUCAUCAUUUUUUUGGCCCCUCUGAGGUUCCGUGAGCAGGCCUAGAGUUAGAACCCUGGGGCCCCUUCUAGAAGUGUCAUGCUUGUUGUACAAGACCAAGAUGUAGUCUCCAUAAUUUUGCUAAUAAUGGAAAAGCAUCUUUCCUCAUGGUUUUUCUUUGCAUCCCUGCUUAGUGACAUUGGUCAGGCCGUGGCUUAUGAUGAAACUAGCCCUUGGCUAGUUAUCAGAACAGACUGCUCAGCUUCUCUAAAACUCCCUUCCUUGAGGGUAAGAUGGGGGCCUACUAUUUGUGUUUCCUGUUUUAGUGACCCAUUGCCAAGGUUGAAUGAUAUUAUGUUCAUGAAAGGGAUUUGAAGACCAUAAAAGUCUGGAAAAGAAACACAGAACACCAAGACGCUUGAAGAACAAGCCCUGGGGGACCAAGGACGAAAACCUGGCAGAGCCUGCGCUGUGGCAGGUUUGAGCGAUUUCUCUGUAGGUAUGUCCUUGACCUAACUUCUGUUUCAAAAUCAUAAUUUUCAGGUCCAUUUCUUUCCCAUUGGCCCUUCUGUUCUGGAGAUGCUUAGCAAAGCAAAAAUCACCAUCCAUCAUCCAUCCAUUUAGCCACUUAUUUAUUGUAUAAUAAACAUCUCGGUUACUAGAGAUAAGACACAGUGAUCAAACAAAUGGAACUCUCCCAGGCCUGUUGGUGAGAUAGAUGUUUGUAUGGGUGUGUGUACACACACCUAUUUAGUAUAUUAUUGAGCACUUAAAAACCACUAAAGUAAGUACUUUACACACAUUUUAUUUAUUUAUUUAAAUUUUUAAAAUUAUAAUUGAUUUAUAAUGUUCUGUCAACUUCUGCUGUAUAGCACAAUGACCCAGCUAUACAUUUAUAUAAAUUCUUCUUCUUUUUUUUUUUAAUGGCCGCACCGGUGGCAUAUGGGAGUUCCCAGGCUAGGGGACACAGCAAAGAAGGAUCCGAACCACGUCUGCGACCUACACCACAGCUUACGGCAACAUCAGAUCCUUUAUCUACUGAGUGAGGCCAGGGAUCGGAUCCUAGUUGGGAUCGAUAACCGCUGAGCCAUGAAAGGAACGCCUACUUUUAUAUACAUACUUUUUUUCACAUUAUCCUCCAUCGACACACAUUUUUAAAUUUUAUUUUCACAGAAACCUAAUAAUGAAGAUGUUAUCCUCCUAUUUUACAGACAAGGAAAAUUUAAGCAACUUGGCUAAAGCCCAGUGAUUAGAAAGUGUAGAGCCAGGAUUCCAAAGCCCAAAUCACUAGUUUAGUGAUUGCACUAAACUGGAUGAAUAUAAUUGCUUUAAACUCUCCCCCCCUUUACUUCUGGUGAGUUUUAUAGCCUUUGCUGGAGUUUAGCAAUCAUAAAGCUAUGGGCAUCGGGCAGAUUGUAAAAAAUAUUACCUGGGACUGGCUCUGGAGUGUAUCUUAGGGAUUGGUAUGAACUAAGAUGGAAAUAACAUUGGCCUGUGAUGGAACAAAGUCCACUCCACAGGCAUGGAUGAGUGUUGUUUGGACAAGAACACUGGAAAGCAGUUAGCAUGUUGAUGACUUAAAAAUCUAAGCUUUCGAGGCUGAGCUCACAUGGAAACUUCUUUUGCCUGACUGUACUAUUCCAUGCUCUGUCAGUUAUGGUCCCAUCAGGGCAGCAGAACCACCAUAAGUGAGGGAACAAGGGGUGCAACACAGGUGUUAGACCUUACACACCUGCAGGGGGUGGUGAUAAAGUCUGUGUAAGACUUGCUCCUACUUCUGGUGCUGGCCUUGAAGUUGUUCUAGGUCAGCAAGGCCCGCAGUUGAGAAGAAAAGCUGGAUGUGGAGUGGAGUUGAGUGAGGACAAUUUGGUACCUACAAAGACAGACUGGAAUCCAUGAAGGCAAACUGGAAUCCAUGAGGACAAGUUGGAACUUGCAUCUUUUCUCUUGCUGCCUCUAACUUUGAUGAGGCGGGUGACCUCCAGAAGAAGCGGGUGCUCUCUCUUUUUUUAUUUUAUUUUUUUAUUUUUAUUUUUAUUUUUUUGUCUUUUUGCUAUUUCUUUGGGCCACUCCCGCGGCAUAUGGAGGUUCCCAGGCUAGGGGUCAAAUCGGAGCUGUAGCCACUGGCCUACACCAGAGCCACAGCAACGCGGGAUCCGAGCCGCAUCUGCAAUCUACACCACAGCUCAGCUGCAACCUAAACCACAGCUCACGGCAACGCCGGAUCGUUAACCCACUGAGCAAGGGCAGGGACUGAACCCGCAACCUCAUGGUUCCUAGUCGGAUUCGUUAACCACUGCGCCAUGACGGAAACUCCCUCUCUUUUUAAAAAAAAAAAACCCAAAAAACCAAAAAAACCCUAUUCUUUAGGAAUUCCCGUCGUGGCUCAGCAGUUAAUGAACCCAACUGGUAUCCAUGAGAACACGGCUUUGAUCCCUGGCCUUGCUCAGUGGGCUAAGGAUCCAGAAUUGUUGUGAGCUGCAGUGUAGGUCACAGACACAACGUGGAUUCCAAGUUGCUGAGGCUGUGGUGCAGGCUGGCAGCUGCAGCUCCAAUUCGAGCCCUAGCCUGGGAACUUCCAUAUGCUGUGGGUGUGGCCCUAAAAAGACACACAAUAAAAUGAAAUAAAAUGAAAUGAAAUAAAAUAAAAUAAAAUAAAAUAAGAUAUAACUAUACUUUAAUAAAAAGGAGUCAUAAUUCCCCCCAAAAAAGAAUAAAUACCAAUUCUUUACUUAGAUGUUGUGUAUUAUGUUGAAGAAGUUUCUUUUUAAUUCUAGUUUAAUAUUUUUUUUAUCAUGAAAGAGAGUUGAGUUUUUGUUCGAUUUUUUUGUUUCUAUUGAGAUGAUAAUAUGGUUUUUGCCUGUAUUUUAUUUAUAUGGUAUAUUGCUUUAAUUGANGUUCCUUGUAUUCUUGUGAUGGAUUCUACUUGGUCAUGAUGCUUAUUAAUUCUUUUACAUAUUGUUAAGUGUGGCUUGUUGGUAUUUGUUGAUGAUUUUUGCAUCUAUAUUUAGAAGAGGGUGCUCUUUGUCCCAGAGCUGCGCAUGUCCUGGAACUAAGGGAUGGUGGAGGAGGAGAUGCAGUGGGACCUGGAGGAGCUGCUACCCCCUCCGACAACGAGAGCCAGUAGAUCAGUGACAACAUGAGUUAGAUGUACCAGCAUAUGCUGCUGGUCCACCAAGACCUUCAGAUCAUAAUGGCUGCUUCCAAAUGUUGCAGAUUUCACUUAUGACCAAUGCUAACUUGGAACCACCCAGGAAAGAGGAUUCUGGGAAACACAUUUCUAGUCUAGCCAAGUUGACAUAAUAUAAACCCCCACAUAUCCUAAUCUCUUAUGAAAUUUAUAAUAAAUCCACACAACUUGGCAAUGAAUUGGAUCCUGAUUAUAUGAAAUCAUCAUGUCUUCUGACCUGAGGGUAGCUCCUUCGGUCCAGAACUCUACCUUAUAGUUUUGUUUCCCAAUAAUGCCCAUGUCAGUACAAGGCACACAGAGGCCUUCAAUGAAUGGCCAGUUGAAGCUGACCCCUCCUUAUCUGCCUUCUCUAUUUAGCAACCUGAAGUUUUCAUAUCAGUACUCCCUUAGAAGACCCUCCAUUUAUAGUAUCCUCAGCAACUGAUUAUCCGGUUUCUCUUCCAGCCCCCAGUGACAGGUGUAGUACUUUCUGGAGUUCACCCCAGACCUAUGGAUCUUAGCAUUACAGAGAAAUAAAAGGCUUGGAGAAUCUUAGAAUUUAUUGAUCUCUGAGCAUCCACCAGGCUGACUCAUCCACGAUCCAUUCCAAGUCUGUCUUAGAAGAAGAAACUCAGAAAUGUUUUAUGUUUUAUUCCUGUUGUACUGUCUUGGUCUCAUCCAAAUUUCAUAUACUCUCUCUUUUAAAAAAUUCUCAACUCUGGAAUUUACCAUCUCAACUACCUUUUAGUAGCCAGUUCAGUGGCGCAAAGUACAUCCCCAUUGUUGUGCUACCAUCAUCCCAACCAUCCACAGAACUUUUUUCAUCUUGCAAAACUAAAAAUGUGUGCCUAUUAAACACUAAUUUUCCAUUCCCUCCUCCCCCAACCCCUGGCAACCGCCAUUCUGUCUUCUAUCUCAAUGAAUUUGACUAAGUCCCUCAAAUACAUGAAAUCAUUCAGUAUGUGUCUCUUUGUGACUGGCUUAUUUCACUUAACAUUAUGUCUUCACAGUUCAUCCAGGUUGUAGCUUGUGUCAGAAUUUCCUUCCUUUUUAAGACUGAAAAAUAUUCCAUGGUACUGUGUAUACCACACUGUGUUUGUCAGUUGACCUGUUCAUUGAUGUCUUUAUCUCUUUGACAACUGAUAUUACAGAGAGAGCUGAAAGAGACGUUUAUAAUCCUUUCUUGUUCAGGAGUCUUGUUUUGCUUUGAUAUUCUUAAAGUUACAGAGCCAGUGCAAUAUAGAUUCUACUCCGAAGACUCUUAGUUACUCAGUUUAACAUAAUGGAAUGAGAUGACAUCAGAGGGGGGGGUCUCAAUCACCUGGGACUUGCGAAAAAAAGAGAGAACCUAAGAAAGCCAUUCAGCAAACAUCUGCUCAUCCAUGGCUCUUCUGCCUUGAGAUCAUGGCAGGUGGGGGAGGCCUCUCUGAGUUGUCUCUAGCUCUGUUUAACUUAUGUUAUUUAAACUUGUUAAUAUGUCACAACAACAGUUUUCAUGGACACAAACAGUAUUUCUUUGGAAAGAGUGCAACGUUGGAGUCAGACUCUUCCUGUGGGGUUUGGGUAAAUAAUAAUGGCUUAAUAAUGACGGCUCCUAUUCAUUAAGGGCUCACUCUAGCCCAGGGACAUUGUCAAGUGUCUUACAUACACUCAUUUAUUAAAGCAAGUACUGUUCAUAGCCCAUCUUGUAGAAGAGAUGACCAAGGUGCCUGUGGUUACAAGUAUUCUGAGAACCAAACCCCAGUCAUUUGACUCUAGAGAUGAUAUCCUGACCACUACCCUGUACUUGGCCUUGAUUUUUCCAUUUGCAAGAUGGGACAGUAAAAUCUGCAUUUUAAUUUUGUUUGAGCUAAAGUUAAAGAAUGAUAAAAGAUAUUAAAAGUAUCUGGCAUUUGGAGUUCCUGUUGUGGCCCAGUAGGUGAAGAGCCUGACUAGUAUCUGUAAGGAUGCACGUUCGAUCCCCGGCCUCACUCAGUGGGUUAAGGAUCUGUCGUUGCCUCAAAGUGCAGUGUUCAGAUUCGGUGUUGCUGUGUCUGUGGUGUAGACUGGCUGCUGCAGCUCAAAUUAGACCCCUAGUCUGGGGACUUACAUAUGCUGCAGGUA
ensembl:lncRNA